rnacentral:snRNA from 1 species
GACCUCUGGUUUCUCUUCAUUACGCACAAGCCUUUCGCCUUUUACUAAAGACUUCCGUGGAGAGGAACACUUACGAGUUCAACAUAUUUUUUGGAAGGGCUUUGCUUCUGGCAGAGCC